UACGGGGGGGGCAAGCGUUGUUCGGAAUUAUUGGGCGUAAAGAGCUCGUAGGUGGCUUGUCACGUCGGAUGUGAAAGCUUGGGGCUUAACUCCAGGUCUGCAUUCGAUACGGGCUGGCUAGAGGUAGGGAGGGGAGAACGGAAUUCCUGGUGUAGCGGUGAAAUGCGCAGAUAUCAGGAGGAACACCGGUGGCGAAGGCGGGACUCUGGGCCGAUACUGACGCUGAGGAGCGAAAGCGUGGGGAGCAAACAGG
rnacentral:rRNA from 1 species